AUAAGGCUGUUGACUAUGAUGUCAAUGGGCUGUUGAACCAAUUCCAAGGGGCUCCUCCCUCCAAGGUCAUAAUGAUUAAAACUUUAACAAUUUUCAUUUAUGACAUUUUAUUUCAAGGUGUUUUUUUUGUUGUUGUUACACAUAGACACAAUAAUCCUGUAUGAUCCAUUUAAAAACAUCUCUGAAACAAGAGAGGGAAACUUUAAACAUGCUGAAGUGUUUUUAUGGCAGAAGUAUUUAGCUGGUGUUUCAUAGUGGCACAGAGAGUAGAUUUGAGAUUGAGUUGGGAUCUUGCUUGGUAGUUAUGGAGGAAAGUCAGAAGUGUAAGAGCUUUGAAAUGAUGAGUCAUCCCUGAGCCAAGGUUCAAGAUGAAGCUGUGAGAAUAAGUGACAAACAUUUGAUAAAUAUGAAGAAGACAAAGAAACUCAUUCUGGACUUUAGCCAACCACAAUUUUGGGUGGAGAAUGCACACUGAUUAAAACAUUUCCGUAGACAUUUUCAUCCUGUCCUCUGCUGACCAGCUUGGAAGAUAAAUGUGGAAUUGCUAUUUUCAGAGAGAAGAAACAGACAUAGCAAUAUGAUAAGAAUUAAACUAGAGCUGCAUACAAGAUGCUGCAGAAUAAUGAAGGAUAUAGGUACUCUCAGAGACCUUAAUUGGAAGACUAAAGGCAAUAACAUUCCCAGAGCAUGCACAGUGGCUUGGUGGUCAGGACAGGAAGAAGGCUCCACUCACUGCCAGAGACUGAAAUCUCAAAAGAUGAAAUCAGAGAACUGAAUUCUUAUCUAAG
rnacentral:lncRNA from 12 species